AGAAUAUUUGGGGUGUCGGUCUACCUAGCAAUAUCACCCGCUUGGCGGAAGAUUUUCCUUUUGUUGU
rnacentral:pre_miRNA from 1 species